UCUCUUUCCACCAUUUUUUAGUCACUAAGCUGUAAAACCUCGGUUCUCAUCUAGUUCUACCCAUUUCCUACCCCUAGUGCUUGAGUUAAAAAGGUAGGGUAGGUGGAGGGCAUCGUUUUAAUAUGAAAAUUUCCAGUUUUCGUUGCCGUUGAUUUUCGGGCGUUGUUCAUUUUCUCCUCUUGCUUUGAGGUACUGAUGGUAUGCCUCUGGCAAGGGGAUAACUUGGGAGAACGUUGGAGCUAAACGCUCAUUUUGAGUUUUCUUUUGUGUAAGCCUAGGACUUUCUACGUAUUGGGCUUAAAACCCACUUUUGUUGUAACCAAGUAUCAUCUUGGGAACUUGUAGCUGAUAAGGCAUGGAUAUGUAAUAGAUUAGAUAUUAAUUUUUAUCGAUCACAUGCUAUAAAUUCAAGUUUUAGAAGCAGCGAAUGUAUCAUGCAUGUGGUUUGAUUUUGUAAUGCUAUAAAACAUCAUGAUUUUCAAUGUA